rnacentral:snRNA from 1 species
CAGCAGGACGGUGGUCAU